rnacentral:lncRNA from 1 species
CUAUGAUUCCAUAAUGUGCCACCUACAUCAAGGCAUAAAGGAUCUCUGCACAGGUGUAACUCAAGCAGUGUCCCUGCUCAAAGAGCAAUCCUAUCGUGCAACCAAGUGUCAUGCAGGGAGAACUCAAGAGACUCUUACUCUACUCACUAUUUAUGAGACUACCUGAUGUUCUGGACUGGCUAACAAAUGAGGUAGAAAAUGAGUCUGUAAAUCUCUCACUUGCUUAGGAAGAAGGAAGCAUGAUCAAAGUUGAGAAAACAUGGUUACAGCUGCUUCAGUGACAAGUGAACUUUACAGAACGAAGCACAGAUCUUAGGCCUCAAGAUCUUCACUCAAUACAAAGUGAAACAUUAACCAUACCAAAAGAAGAUGGAUUUAGGGAAAUCUUAACCUUCCUUCAUUCCUUCCAUCUUUCCUUCCUUUUUUAAUUCCUUCCUUCCUCCCUUCCUUCCUUCCUUCUUUCCUUUCUUUUGUCUUUUCUCCCUUCCUGCUUGCUAUUCCAACAUAAAUAAUUACAGUGAUCCACAAAAAGGAGGAAGUGACCAUCCUGGAGUAACGGAGUUGUUAGUCUAUUGUAUCAAGAAUCUCUUCUCUUGAGCGCGUAAAAAAGCAAGUUCACCUAGCCCUGGGAGAGGAUUCACAUGACUGGAAUUUAAAUGGUCAUACAAAUGUUUCCAACAUGAAUAAUCAGUGGUAGUUUAGAGGCAGAGGGAGCAUCUGACAGGCAAACAGGCAGCUCAUAGCUCUGGUAGCUAACUUCUGUGAAUCUUGCUCUUCAGGGCCUAAUUUUUAUGUUGUGUUGAGGAAGGUUAUUUGCCUAAUUUGAGAUUUGAGUUAAUGGUAGAUAGGUUCGG